CACGUAGGGGGCGAGCGUUGUCCGGAUUUAUUGGGCGUAAAGAGCUCGUAGGCGGCUCGGUAAGUCGGGUGUGAAAACUCGGGGCUCAACCCCGAGACGCCACUCGAUACUGCCAUGGCUAGAGUCCGGUAGGGGAGCGUGGAAUUCCUGGUGUAGCGGUGAAAUGCGCAGAUAUCGGGAGGAACACCAGUAGCGAAGGCGGUUCUCUGGGCCGGUACUGACGCUGAGGAGCGAAAGCGUGGGGAGCAAACAGG
rnacentral:rRNA from 1 species